UUUUGUUUAUCGAUUUGUAGAUGGACAGCUGGCUGAACCCCAACCUCAUGGUGACGGGGGGCCCGGCGCUGGCGGGCUCAGGUCGCUGGUCUGCCGACCCCGCAGCCCAUCUGGCCACGCACCCCUGGUUGCCCCGCUCGGGCAACGCAUCCAUGUGGCUCGCUGGACACCCCUACGGUGAGUGUGGGCCCUGGGGGGUAUCAGGCGUGUGAGCGUGUGCUUGGGAGGACUUUGGUUCAACUUCAGAUUCUGGCACCAAGGCUGGGUGAGCUUGGGCCCCAGUGGUGGCAAUCACUGAGCUUGGCCCGGCGCCUGUCUCUCCUUUGUCAGUUUCCUUUUGUGUGCCUCCAGCUGCUGGGCUGGGAGUGGUGCAGAGAAUCAGG
rnacentral:lncRNA from 1 species